rnacentral:rRNA from 1 species
CCUACGGGCGGCAGCAGUGGGGAAUAUUGGACAAUGGGGGGAACCCUGAUCCUGCCAUGCCGCGUGUGUGAAGAAGGCCCUCGGGUUGUAAAGCACUUUCAGUGAGGAAGAACGCCUGGUGGUUAAUACCCAUCAGGAAAGACAUCACUCACAGAAGAAGCACCGGCUAACUCCGUGCCAGCAGCCGCGGUAAUACGGAGGGUGCGAGCGUUAAUCGGAAUUACUGGGCGUAAAGCGCGCGUAGGUGGCUUGAUAAGCCGGUUGUGAAAGCCCCGGGCUCAACCUGGGAACGGCAUCCGGAACUGUCAAGCUAGAGUGCAGGAGAGGAAGGUAGAAUUCCCGGUGUAGCGGUGAAAUGCGUAGAGAUCGGGAGGAAUACCAGUGGCGAAGGCGGCCUUCUGGACUGACACUGACACUGAGGUGCGAAAGCGUGGGUAGCAAACAGGAUUAGAUACCCUAGUAGUC